UUCCUCCAAUAAGAAGUGCUGCUUGGCUCAUGCCUCCAUUAGCAGACGCUUGGAAAUAAUGCACCAUGGCAGUUUUUCAAGGAUUUUUUUCCCCUCUUUCCUCCCUCCAGAGAGAAAAACAAAAGGGUAAAGAUGGCUGGAGGGAUUGGAUCAGAACAUUGUUUUACUGGAAUCUGCAGCUGUUUCUGGACGGCUGGAGUCUCUGAAGGGAAACCAUGUGCUCCAGGUCUGAAGGAAAUGGUUCGGCUCCAGUCUGUCCCGAGUCUUCUGGAGAGGAAUUUUUCUCAUUGUUCCAAAGGUUGCUACCCACCAAAGACCUGGACUCCCUCUCCAGAGAGCGUGUGCGUCAGGGAAGAGGCCUAGGGAAUGCAGACCCGGCCAGGGCACAGAAGACAAGGUGAAGUGCCAGCCAAAGGCAAAGGCGGAAAGAGAACCGGCCCUUGCUGAGGACCCAGAGCAUUCUCUGGGUUCUGGCCCAGGCCUGCAGCUCACAAAAGGUUCACCCUUCAUUUCUAAGAAUCUGAGGGCUAGGGAGAGCCAAGAAGAUUGCCAUUUUCACCCAGCAGGCAAAAUAAAAAUGGGGCUGAUAGAGGCAGGUGGAUCCAGAUAAAAUAAUGAAUGUGCAAGAGACUCAUUCUGGCGUCUUGUCCAGUGUGAAAGGCUGGCUGUCUCUACAUACAGAGCAAAAUAAACCCAUACACACCCUUGAACUCCUAGGUAUGGAUUCCUGGAGCUGCUGGAGGGAGCCUCUAAACGGUGCUUUCCUCCCCCGGUGCUCUCUCUGCGUGGUGCUGUCAUCUCUGGGGAAGGAGCCGGUGGAACCCCUGGCAGUGAGGCAGAGGCUGGGCACUGUGGUUACCUACCCACCUCCCGACGUCCAUCCCAACACAUCUGGGAAUUUGAAGUUCUGGUGAAGCUGCUGGAGCUCUUGAGCAGGAGCCAGUGUCCCACUUGGAAGCUUCGGUCCUCUGCCAGUUCACGCGAGGUGGAGGCGGAGCUGCCCUGCUCCCGUCCUCACGGUUGGUGUGGUCGCCAUUCGCAGAGCAUGAAGGAACUCAGCCUGCCUGCUCCACUCCCGUCUGCCUCUUCUAGGACCCAGCACACCUCCUGAUGCAGCCUUUCCUGGUGCUGGGGAUGGAAGGGCCACUCAUAUCUCCAAACCCAGCUCUCUUCGGCCCUACUCAGGUCUCCUGGGAGUCAGUCCCCAGGACUCCAUCUGACACGGGGUGGGGGGAGUCAGUCCUCUCUCUGGAUGCUAGGAGAACCCAAGCCUCAUGUGUGUCCUCCAGGCUUCUCUGCACACUGGUCCCAGGUAGCUGUGCUGGGCUACUUGGAGAAAUGGUUAGUAUUUUCAUUUGAAUUGGGAGAGGAAGGCCAGAGGCGGUCACCCUCAUGCCAGCAUCGCCUGGCUUUAGGGAACUGAGGGGAAACACUGCACAUGCAAAUGCUCAAUUCGUGUAUCAGACUUUGGACCAAAAGCACAUGGAUUACCAACAUCAUAGUUGAAAGAGGAGAUUGGUUUAUGUUUUGUAACCCAAGAGGUAGAGAGGAAUUGUGAGGAGGGAGCCAGAAAAGAGGGGAAGAGGAGGAAAGGGUUGUGUGAUCACCAUCUGAUCCAGGUUGAAUCUCUAUGGUUAAUCAACUGCAAAAAGUUGAACUAAUGGUUCAAGAGAGAUUUUUAUGAGAUCCUGGGCACACGGAGAACUGCUUUAGGAAGGGUUGAAUUAUAAUCAUAAAAGUUCCUAGGUCCUUUUGCCUUCUUGGGACCCUUCUUCCAUAAAAAAUUUGAAAGUUAUAUUUUAUAACCACAUUGGUAUAAAGGUGAAUAUUGUAAUACUA